CGCGGGGUAGAGCAGCCGGUAGCUCGUCGGGCUCAUAACCCGGAGGUCGCUGGUUCGAAUCCAGCCCCCGCUACCA
rnacentral:tRNA from 1 species